rnacentral:ncRNA from 1 species
UGAGUCUUCGAACACAAGUUGCGCCCAAAGCCAUUAGGCUAAGGGCACGUCUGCCAAGGUGCCACAUGUGAUAACCUUAGAUGUUUUGGGCUACACACGUGCUACACAGAUGUAUUCAAUGAUUUUAUAGCAUUGGCCGAUAAGCCCGGUUAAUCUUUGAAAUUUUAUUGUGAUGGGGAUAGAUCAUUACAAUUGUUGGUCUUCAAAGAAGAACUCCUAGUAAAUGCGAAUCAUCAACUCGUGUUGACUACGUCCCUGCCCUUUUAACAUAUCGCCUGUCACUCCUACCGAUUGAAUGAUCCAGUGAGAUAUUUGGAUCAUGGUGACGUAGCCGGUUCGUUGCCUACAACAUCGCGAGAAGUCCAUUCAACCUUAUCAUUUAGAGGAUGGAGAAGUCGUAACAAGGUUUCCGUAGGUUAACCUACAAAAG